AUAGGUGUGUACCUGUGAAGGUGCAGCCAAGUUAAAAUCUGUUCUUAUCAGUUUAAUAUCUGAUACGUCCCCUAUCUGGGGACCAUAUAUUAAAUGGAUUUUUGAGAACGGGGGCCGAUUUCGAAGCUUGCUUCCGUCGCCCUAUGCAUUGACCCGAUAUGGCAGUAUCUUCGGGUACAGUGCACCACCC